rnacentral:rRNA from 1 species
UACGGAGGAUCCAAGCGUUAUCCGGAUUCAUUGGGUUUAAAGGGUGCGUAGGCGGAAUGAUAAGUCAGUGGUGAAAGCCUGUUGCUUAACAACAGAACUGCCAUUGAUACUGUCAAUCUUGAGUACAUUUGAUGUGGGCGGAAUGUGUCAUGUAGCGGUGAAAUGCUUAGAUAUGACACAGAACACCGAUUGCGAAGGCAGCUCACAAAACUGUAAACUGACGCUGAGGCAACGAAAGCGUGGGUAGUCAAACAGGA